rnacentral:rRNA from 1 species
AAAUGACUCUCGGCAACGGAUAUCUCGGCUCUCGCAUCGAUGAAGAACGUAGCGAAAUGCGAUACUUGGUGUGAAUUGCAGAAUCCCGUGAACCAUCGAGUCUUUGAACGCAAGUUGCGCCCCAAGCCGUUAGGCCGAGGGCACGCCUGCCUGGGUGUCACGC